rnacentral:rRNA from 1 species
UACGUAGGGGGCAAGCGUUGUCCGGAUUUAUUGGGCGUAAAGAGCGUGUAGGCGGCUUUGCAGGUCCGCUGUGAAAACUCGAGGCUCAACCUCGAGCUGUCGGUGGAAACUGUCGAGCUAGAGUCCGGAAGAGGCGAGUGGAAUUCCUGGUGUAGCGGUGAAAUGCGCAGAUAUCAGGAGGAACACCAAUGGCGAAGGCAGCUCGCUGGGACGGUACUGACGCUGAGACGCGAAAGCGUGGGGAGCAAACAGG